rnacentral:rRNA from 1 species
UGCAGUAAUGCGUUUAGCUGACUACUACUAAUAGAGCGUUUGGCUUGUUUUUUG